GACGAACGCUGGCGGCGUGCCUAAUACAUGCAAGUAGAACGCUGAAGAGAGGAGCUUGCUCUUCUUGGAUGAGUUGCGAACGGGUGAGUAACGCGUAGGUAACCUGCCUUGUAGCGGGGGAUAACUAUUGGAAACGAUAGCUAAUACCGCAUAACAAUGGAUGACACAUGUCAUUUAUUUGAAAGGGGCAAUUGCUCCACUACAAGAUGGACCUGCGUUGUAUUAGCUAGUAGGUGAGGUAAUGGCUCACCUAGGCGACGAUACAUAGCCGACCUGAGAGGGUGAUCGGCCACACUGGGACUGAGACACGGCCCAGACUCCUACGGGAGGCAGCAGUAGGGAAUCUUCGGCAAUGGGGGCAACCCUGACCGAGCAACGCCGCGUGAGUGAAGAAGGUUUUCGGAUCGUAAAGCUCUGUUGUAAGUCAAGAACGGGUGUGAGAGUGGAAAGUUCACACUGUGACGGUAGCUUACCAGAAAGGGACGGCUAACUACGUGCCAGCAGCCGCGGUAAUACGUAGGUCCCGAGCGUUGUCCGGAUUUAUUGGGCGUAAAGCGAGCGCAGGCGGUUUGAUAAGUCUGAAGUUAAAGGCUGUGGCUCAACCAUAGUUCGCUUUGGAAACUGUCAAACUUGAGUGCAGAAGGGGAGAGUGGAAUUCCAUGUGUAGCGGUGAAAUGCGUAGAUAUAUGGAGGAACACCGGUGGCGAAAGCGGCUCUCUGGUCUGUAACUGACGCUGAGGCUCGAAAGCGUGGGGAGCGAACAGGAUUAGAUACCCUGGUAGUCCGCGCCGUAAACGAUGAGUGCUAGGUGUUGGAUCCUUUCCGGGAUUCAGUGCCGCAGCUAACGCAUUAAGCACUCCGCCUGGGGAGUACGACCGCAAGGUUGAAACUCAAAGGAAUUGACGGGGGCCCGCACAAGCGGUGGAGCAUGUGGUUUAAUUCGAAGCAACGCGAAGAACCUUACCAGGUCUUGACAUCCCGAUGCUAUUUCUAGAGAUAGAAAGUUACUUCGGUACAUCGGUGACAGGUGGUGCAUGGUUGUCGUCAGCUCGUGUCGUGAGAUGUUGGGUUAAGUCCCGCAACGAGCGCAACCCCUAUUGUUAGUUGCCAUCAUUCAGUUGGGCACUCUAGCGAGACUGCCGGUAAUAAACCGGAGGAAGGUGGGGAUGACGUCAAAUCAUCAUGCCCCUUAUGACCUGGGCUACACACGUGCUACAAUGGUUGGUACAACGAGUUGCGAGUCGGUGACGGCGAGCUAAUCUCUUAAAGCCAAUCUCAGUUCGGAUUGUAGGCUGCAACUCGCCUACAUGAAGUCGGAAUCGCUAGUAAUCGCGGAUCAGCACGCCGCGGUGAAUACGUUCCCGGGCCU
rnacentral:rRNA from 1 species